rnacentral:rRNA from 1 species
UACGUAGGGUGCAAGCGUUGUCCGGAAUUAUUGGGCGUAAAGAGCUCGUAGGCGGUUUGUUGCGUCGGCUGUGAAAUCCCGAGGCUCAACCUCGGGUCUGCAGUCGAUACGAGCAAACUAGAGUGUUGCAGGGGAGACUGGAAUUCCUGGUGUAGCGGUGAAAUGCGCAGAUAUCAACUGGAACUCCGGUGGCGAAGGCGGCACGCUGGACCUUUUCUGACGCUGAGGCGCGAAAGCCAGGGGAGCAAACGGG